GGCCCAGAUCGUUUACCGUGAAGAAAUUAGAGUGUUCAAAGCGGGCGCGAAAGCAAUUUCUCGCCGUUGAAUACGUCAGCAUGGGAUAAUGGAAUAGGGACCCCGCUCUCCUAUUUUCCGUUGGUUUCCGGGAGCGGGGUAAUGAUUGAUAGGGAUAGUUGGGGGCAUCGAUAUUUAAUUGUCAGAGGUGAAAUUCUUGGAUUUAUGAAAGAUCGACUUCCGCGAAAGCAUUUGCCAAGGAUGUUUUCAUUAAUCAAGAACGAAAGUUAGGGGAUCGAAGACGAUCAGAUACCGUCGUAGUCCUUACGACCAUAAACCGUGCCGACCAGCGAUCGGGAGACGUCCCAUGGAUGACUCCCCUAGCAGCUUGUGAGA
rnacentral:rRNA from 1 species